rnacentral:rRNA from 1 species
AACGUAGGGGACAAGCGUUAUCCGGAUUUACUGGGCGUAAAGGGCUCGUAGGUGGCCAACUAAGUCAGACGUGAAAUCCCUCGGCUUAACCGGGGAACUGCGUCUGAUACUGGAUGGCUUGAGUUUGGGAGAGGGACGCGGAAUUCCAGGUGUAGCGGUGAAAUGCGUAGAUAUCUGGAGGAACACCGGUGGCGAAGGCGGCGUCCUGGACCAACACUGACACUGAGGAGCGAAAGCCAGGGGAGCAAACGGG